rnacentral:rRNA from 1 species
ACGGAAGGCAGCAGUGGGGAAUAUUGCACAAUGGGCGAAAGCCUGAUGCAGCGACGCCGCGUGAGCGAAGAAGUAUUUCGGUAUGUAAAGCUCUAUCAGCAGGGAAGAUAAUGACGGUACCUGACUAAGAAGCACCGGCUAAAUACGUGCCAGCAGCCGCGGUAAUACGUAUGGUGCAAGCGUUAUCCGGAUUUACUGGGUGUAAAGGGAGCGUAGGCGGUUUUACAAGUCUGAUGUGAAAGCCCGGGGCUCAACUCCGGUAUUGCAUUGGAAACUGUAGAACUAGAGUGUCGGAGGGGUAAGUGGAAUUCCUAGUGUAGCGGUGAAAUGCGUAGAUAUUAGGAGGAACACCAGUGGCGAAGGCGGCUUGCUGGACGACAACUGACGCUGAGGCGCGAAAGCGUGGGGAGCAAACAGGAUUAGAUACCCUGGUA